rnacentral:rRNA from 1 species
UGGGGAAUCUUCCGCAAUGGACGAAAGUCUGACGGAGCAACGCCGCGUGAGUGAAGAAGGUUUUCGGAUCGUAAAACUCUGUCUUUUGGGGCGAACGUGAGUAUGGUGAACAAUCAUAGUCAGUGACGGUACCAAAGGAGGAAGCCACGGCUAACUACGUGCCAGCAGCCGCGGUAAUACGUAGGUGGCAAGCGUUGUCCGGAAUUAUUGGGCGUAAAGAGCGCGUAGGCGGGAUAGUCAGUCUGUUGUAAAGUGCGGGGCUCAACCCCGUGAUGGCAAUGGAAACAGCUAUUCUUGAGUGCAGGAGAGGAAAGUGGAAUUCCCAGUGUAGCGGUGAAAUGCGUAGAUAUUGGGAGGAACACCAGUGGCGAAGGCGACUUUCUGGACUGUGUCUGACGCUGAGGCGCGAAAGCCAGGGGAGCGAACGGGAUUAGAUACCCCGGUAGUCCUGGCCGUAAACGAUGGGUACUAGGUGUGGGAGGUAUCGACCCCUUCCGUGCCGGAGUUAACGCAAUAAGUACCCCGCCUGGGGAGUACGGUCGCAAGACUGAAACUCAAUGAAUUGACGGGGUCAUAGCUGUUUCCUG